rnacentral:rRNA from 1 species
GAAGGGACCUAGCGUAGUUCGGAAUUACUGGGCUUAAAGAGUUCGUAGGUGGUUAAAAAAGUUGGUGGUGAAAUCCCAGAGCUUAACUCUGGAACUGCCAUCAAAACUUUUUAGCUAGAGUAUGAUAGAGGAAAGCAGAAUUUCUAGUGUAGAGGUGAAAUUCGUAGAUAUUAGAAAGAAUACCAAUUGCGAAGGCAGCUUUCUGGAUCAUUACUGACGCUGAGGAACGAAAGCAUGGGUAGCGAAGAGGAUUAGAUACCCUCGUAGUCCAUGCCGUAAACGAUGUGUGUUAGACGUUGGAAAUUUAUUUUCAGUGUCGCAGCGAAAGCAUUAAACACACCGCCUGGGGAGUACGACCGCAAGGUUAAAACUCAAAUGAAUUGACGGGGACCCGCACAAGUAGUGGAGCAUGUGGUUUAAUUCGAAGAUACGCGCAGAACCUUACCAACACUUGACAUGUUCGUCGCGACUUUAAGAGAUUAAAGUUUUCGGUUCGGCCGGACGAAACACAGGUGCUGCAUGGCUGUCGUCAGCUCGUGUCGUGAGAUGUUGGGUUAAGUCCCGCAACGAGCGCAACCCUCACUUUUAGUUGCCAUCAUUAAGUUGGGCACUCUGAAAGAACUGCCAGUGAUAAGCUGGAGGAAGGUGGGGAUGACGUCAAGUCCUCAUGGCCCUUACGUGUUGGGCUACACACGUGCUACAAUGGUAUUUACAAAAGGAAGCAAGACGGCGACGUUUAGCAAAUCCUUAAAAAAUACCUCAGUUCGGAUUGCACUCUGCAACUCGAGUGCAUGAAGCUGGAAUUACUAGUAAUCGUGGAUCAGCGUGCCACGGUGAAUGCGUUCCCGGGUCUU